UACGUAGGUGGCAAGCGUUGUCCGGAUUUACUGGGCGUAAGGAGCGCGCAGGCGGUCGUUCAAGUCGCGUGUGAAAGCCCCCGGCUCAACUGGGGAGGGUCACGCGAUACUGAUCGACUCGAAGGCAGGAGAGGGUAGUGGAAUUCCCGGUGUAGUGGUGAAAUGCGUAGAUAUCGGGAGGAACACCAGUGGCGAAGGCGACUACCUGGCCUGUUCUUGACGCUGAGGCGCGAAAGCUAGGGGAGCAAACAGG
rnacentral:rRNA from 1 species